UUAUGGAAGUUUUCAGCUCUUAUGUCUUCAGAGAUUUAUCCUACAAUAAAAUACAGACUAUCGAAAGACGUACAUGUGAACCACUACCUUUUUUGCAGUUUAUAAAUCUUGGUUGCAAUUUACUCACAGAACUGAGCUUUGGAACAUCCAGGCCUGGCAUGGAAUGCAGUUUUUCCACAAGUAGUA